rnacentral:lncRNA from 1 species
GGGUAGAAUGGUAAUUGGGGCAUCCAAGCAAUUCUCCACUGCCAACCGCCUUCCAAUUACCAGCACAGCCCAUCGCCAAUCCGACGUCUGAUUGUUCGCGCAACGGUUGCGCGUCCAUCGGCUGGCCGAGCCAACGACGGCGAACUCGAAGAGACUGACGGAACACACGAAGCUUGCUUCAGUUUUCUAUCAUCUUCCGCGCGAUGUAGAGGCAACUGGACCUAUUAAUCUCGUCAUUCGUGACCAUCACGGCGUCACAGGAGGCUAGUAAGCGCUGGUCAAAGUACCAAACGCGUGCCCACCAAUGGAUGACGCUUGAGGUGGCUGG